rnacentral:rRNA from 1 species
AGUGAACGCUGGCGGUAGGCCUAACACAUGCAAGUCGAACGGCAGCACAGUAAGAUCUUGCUCUUACGGGUGGCGAGUGGCGGACGGGUGAGGAAUACAUCGGAAUCUACUUUUUCUUGGGUGGUAACGUAAGGAAACUUACGCUAAUACCUCAUACUACCUACGGGUGAAAUCAGAGGAUCUUCGGACCUUUCGCGUUUGUAUGAGCCGAUGUCGCAUUAGCUAGUUGGCUGGGUAAAGGCCCACCAAGGCGACGAUCCGUAGCUGGUCUGAGAGGAUGAUCAGCCACACUGGAACUGAGACACGGUCCAGACUCCUACGGGAGGCAGCAGUGGGGAAUCUUGGACAAUGGGCGCAAGCCUGAUCCAGCAACACCGCGUGAGUGAAGAAGGUCUUCGGGUCGUAAAGCCCUUUUGUUGGGAAAGAAAAGAAGCAGAUUAAUCCCCCGAUGUUUUGACGGUACCCAAAGAAUAAGCCACGGCUAACUUCGUG